CCUUUUCUAAUUGUUUGACAGCAUAUUUGAGCGCUUUACCUUUAUUUAGUGGCCAUUAGAUAAUUGCCACUAAUUUGCUUAAUGAAGUUAAUUAUUAGGGUACAAUUGAACCUUUGCCGGUAAUAACAUUCCCUCUAAAUGUAGUAAUAUUUUAUUUCUAUUCAGAUUUAAAGUCAAUUUACUCAUUUCCGACUAACUCAUUGAAUUGAGAGUAGUUAUGAUCCAAGGUUUUUUUUUAUUUAUUUGGGAGAACAGAAAAAAAAAAAAAAAUAAUAAAGCUUGUGGCUAACCUGUUUGUGAAAAUGCCACACAGACUACUUUUUGCAUUAGAGAAUACCUUUUCAUACUUUCCUGCAUGUUGGAUUCCUAGUUUGAAAGUAGCACAUAAUUUUAUCUUUUGGUUGCUAAAUUCAGGUUAGGUUUAGCAUUUGCAGGGGUUGACAAAGGCUGAAGCGAUAGGCUUUGGUCAUGCCGUGUUCUUUUUGUUUUCAAUUGACUAUUUACAAGUUUUUCUUCAAUGUCCAUUGACUAACCAUGUAGUGAUUAUGCCUGAUAAUUGAAUAUGCUGUUUCUCAUUGAUUGGUAUCUACAGUUUUCUUCUAUAUGCUGUGAAUAUUUACAAGUUUUUCUUCAUUGUUAGUCAACUAAUCAAAUAGUGAUUAUGCGUGGUACUUGACUAGCAUUAACGCACUCAAACGCAAUGCCAGGAAGUUCUGUUUAAAGCUGGAUAUGUACCAUCAAAUUUCGAAAAGUACCCAUUAGGAGGCAUCAUUUCCGCCAUUAAAAGUUCUGUUCUUUAUCACAGACUUGUAACAGCCAAGCAAUUUCAUAUGUUCUUGCUCUCAAUCCCUCUGUCCCACAAGAGCAUAAUUGUAAAUUUGUUCUUUGAACUUGUCUGAAUUGCAGGUGCACAUGCAGUGGAAUAUAUCAUAAACCAUGCUGAAGUUUCAGUAGCUUUUGCCCAAGAAAUCAAGAUACCGGCUGUAUAUUCUCUUUUUCUUAUCCUUAAUGUCAUAGUUUUGCUUUGUUAUUCGUGAACUGCAAAUUACAUUGUACAUUAGGACUGAGACAAUGAGGACUAAACUGAUGGUUCCGAAAUUUCUAUGUGGAUUUUCAUUGAACUGCUCAUUAUCUUUCAAUGAAUUCUAAUGCAUUAAUACUUCUGAUAGAUAUAUCAUCCAAAUUUUAGGGACAUUUAGCUUUAGGUGACAUUGCUUAAGUUACCUAACGAUUAAAUUCUUUUGCAGAUUUUAUCAUGUUUGUCAAAGUGCAAUUCUUUCCUAAAAAGUACGUGAAAUUAUUAACCUUCCCAAAUAAAGCUGGUAUUUGCAAGUACAAUAAAAGUAACUUGUAUAUCUUUUCUUAAGCUAUCGUCAGCUUUGGAAACAUUUUGCAGCACACAGAAAAGUGAAGCUGAGGGACCAGGAAGCUUUGCUUCUCAUGGGAAGAGUUUGUUCAAAUGAGAAUUUGGAUCAUCAACUUCCUCAGAAACGGAAGACUGAUAUUUGCACAAUUAGGACAUUAGAUACUUGAUUGAGGAUCUUCUAGUAUUAAAGCCGACUAUAUUCUGUGGAGUUUCAACAGUUCAUGACCGAUAUACACAGGUUUCUAAUCUAAACUUUCUGGUUUAUAUUGUUCUGGGCAUGUGUACUUGAUAAAUUUGUGCGGCUUUUUUUCCAGUUCUCGAUGUUGGGCUAAACGGUCCAAAGAUACUCUUAACAUGAUGUGAUAUUGUCCGCUUUGGGCCAAGCCCGCACGGUUUUCCCCAAAAGGCCUCACAUCAUUAAGAGUAUCCAACUCCUUAUAAGUAGCUCAUUUUUCUUUUCAGCUACCAAUGU